rnacentral:rRNA from 1 species
UGGAUUAUGUUGUUUAAUUUCGACGCAACGCGAAGAACCUUACCAGGCCUUGACAUACUCGGCAAAGCUCUAGAGAUAGAGUGGAGGUUAUCCGGGAUACAGGUGGUGCAUGGUUGUCGUCAGCUCGUGUCGUGAGAUGUUGGGUUAAGUCCCGCAACGAGCGCAACCCUUGUCUUUAGUUACCAUCAUUCAGUUGGGGACUCUAGAGAGACUGCCGGUGAUAAACCGGAGGAAGUGGGGAUGACGUCAAAUCAUCAUGCCCCUUAUGGCCUGGGCUACAAACGUAAUACAAUGGCGUAUACAAAGGGAUGCGAAAGGGUGACCUGGAGCAAAACUCACAAAGUACGUCUCAGUUCAGAUUGGAGUCUGCAACUCGACUCCAUGAAGGCGGAAUCGCUAGUAAUCGCGGAUCAGCAUGCCGCGGUGAAUACGUUCUCGGGGUUU